GGAAAAUACAAAUUUGUACAACUAGAACCUUCUGGCUGCUAAUAAGACAGACUAGUAGAUCCAAAGUGUAAUCGUAAUGGGGGAAAAACCGGUGAUGGUGGUGGGGCUGGAUGACAGCGAAUACAGUUUUUAUGCAUUAGAGUGGACUUUGGAACACUUGUUUAGAUCUUCACCGCCUCCUUUCAAACUCCUUAUCGUUCACGCCAAACCUACUGCUACUUCUGCCAUCGGCCUCGCUGGUCCUGGGGGUGCCGAUGUUUUGCCCUAUGUGGAGGCUGAUUUGAGGAAGAUCUCUUCAAGGAUAGCCGAAAAAGCUAAGAAGAUUUGUUCUGCUAAAUCGGUAAACGAUGUUGUAGUUGAGAUUGCGGAAGGUGAUGCUAGGAGUGUCUUGUGUGAUGCAGUGGAGAAGCAUCAUGCCUCUAUGUUAGUUGUUGGUAGUCAUGGUUAUGGAGUUCUGAAGAGGGCUGUUUUGGGCAGUGUAAGUGACUACUGUGCUCACCACACUCACUGCAGUGUGAUGAUUGUGAAGCGCCCAAAGAUCAAGGCUUGAGAUUUGGUUGAUGCUGUGUAUUUAUAUAAUUCCAAUAAUAAAUAGAGUAGAUUUGGAAAUUGGAGUAGCUAGCAAUUUUCACAAGUCUACGCACAAAAUUUGUAACAAAACAUAAUAGCUUGGGGCCGUCUCAAAAGAAAAUUAGUAAAUCAGAAACAAAAAGCUCCUAUCAGUAGUUUUAUUUGUUGAUUUUUUUUAGCGGAUGGAUGGAUGGAUCAUAUCCAUCUUUGUCCUUGUCCUAAGCCAAAUAGAAAAACCUUUCAAAGAAA
rnacentral:misc_RNA from 1 species